GUGCUCCCUUUGGCAGCACAUAUACUAAAAUAGGAAUGAUACAGAGAAGAUUAGCAUGGCCCCUGUGCAAGGAUGACAUGCAAAUUCGUGAAGCAUUCCAUAUUUUU
ensembl:snRNA U6 U6 spliceosomal RNA